rnacentral:rRNA from 1 species
AACGAACGCUGGCGGCAGGCUUAACACAUGCAAGUCGAACGCUCGUAGCAAUACGGGAGUGGCGGACGGGUGAGUAACGCGUGGGAACGUGCCCAAAGGUACGGAACAACUCCGGGAAACUGGAGCUAAUACCGUAUGUGCCCGAAAGGGGAAAGAUUUAUCGCCUUUGGAUCGGCCCGCGUCGGAUUAGCUAGUUGGUGGGGUAAUGGCCUACCAAGGCGACGAUCCGUAGCUGGUCUGAGAGGAUGAUCAGCCACACUGGGACUGAGACACGGCCCAGACUCCUACGGGAGGCAGCAGUGGGGAAUAUUGGACAAUGGGCGCAAGCCUGAUCCAGCCAUGCCGCGUGAGUGAUGAAGGCCUUAGGGUUGUAAAGCUCUUUCGCCAGGGACGAUAAUGACGGUACCUGGAUAAGAAGCCCCGGCUAACUUCGUGCCAGCCGCCGCCGUAA